UAGGGAAUCUUCGGCAAUGGGGGCAACCCUGACCGAGCAACGCCGCGUGAGUGAAGAAGGUUUUCGGAUCGUAAAGCUCUGUUGUAAGUCAAGAACGAGUGUGAGAGUGGAAAGUUCACACUGUGACGGUAGCUUACCAGAAAGGGACGGCUAACUACGUGCCAGCAGCCGCGGUAAUACGUAGGUCCCGAGCGUUGUCCGGAUUUAUUGGGCGUAAAGCGAGCGCAGGCGGUUUGAUAAGUCUGAAGUUAAAGGCUGUGGCUCAACCAUAGUUCGCUUUGGAAACUGUCAAACUUGAGUGCAGAAGGGGAGAGUGGAAUUCCAUGUGUAGCGGUGAAAUGCGUAGAUAUAUGGAGGAACACCGGUGGCGAAAGCGGCUCUCUGGUCUGUAACUGACGCUGAGGCUCGAAAGCGUGGGGAGCGAACAGGAUUAGAUACCCUGGUAGUCCACGCCGUNNNGAUGAGUGCUAGGUGUUGGAUCCUUUCCGGGAUUCAGUGCCGCAGCUAANGCANUAANCACUCCGCCUGGGGAGUACNACCGCNAGGUUG
rnacentral:rRNA from 1 species